rnacentral:rRNA from 1 species
AACGAACGCUAGCGGCGCGCUUAACACAUGCAAGUCGAACGCGAAAAGGGGGCAACUCCUUAGUAGAGUGGCGCACGGGUGAGUAACGCGUAGGUAAUCUCCCUUCGAGACUGGAAUAACCCGCCGAAAGGCGGGCUAAUACCGGAUAAGACCACGGGGCUCAAGCCCUGGGGUUAAAGGCGGGUAGCAAUAUCUGUCACUCGUUGAUGAGCCUGCGUCCCAUCAGCUAGUUGGUGAGGUAAAAGCUUACCAAGGCUAAGACGGGUAGCUGGUCUGAGAGGACGAUCAGCCACACUGGCACUGAAACACGGGCCAGACUCCUACGGGAGGCAGCAGUGGGGAAUUUUGCGCAAUGGGCGAAAGCCUGACGCAGCGACGCCGCGUGAGGGAAGAAGGUCUUCGGAUCGUAAACCUCUGUCGGAGGGGAAGAAACUGCAGGGUGCUAAUACCAUCUUGCAUUGACGGUACCCUCUGAGGAAGCAUCGGCUAACUACGUGCCAGCCGCCGCUGUAA